rnacentral:lncRNA from 1 species
AAAUCGCGGGGGCACAGGGAGAGCGGUCAGAUGUCCUGCAGGCAGAACCCCAGGGGAACCACUCCCAGGGGUGAAACCGUGCUGACUCGGAGAACAACAGAGCAGGAAUGUGUUUCGAGGAGCCAACAAAUCCAAACCCCUCUGCAGACAAGAAAUGAACGACAAUUUUAUGUCUAAAAUGAAAAGAGCUACCAAUCAUCUUUUAGAUUAAAAAAAAAACUUAUAGAAGGAACAACAAAUGCUGGAUGAUAGUUAUUUUACCUAAACCAAACUGUACCCCAAAAUAUAACUUUUGUACAAGUAUAUUAGCUUUCCUUAAGCAUUGAUAACAGAUCAUGCAAUCUCAUAAUCUCAUUUUUUAUGCUAAUGGACCCUUAUCAAUUGCCUGACUGUAUAUUUAUUCUUUAAUGAUAACAGUUAUUCAGAAGGUAAAUAUUUUGGAAAGAAGUAAAAUUUUCUUCUAUACCUUCUCUCAAUUUUUCCCUUCACUUGAAAACAUUUAAGAAACACUUUGAUCAAAGAAUUUCCAAUUGACUAGAAAUAUAAAAUGUUACAUUUUUAGAGAAAAUAUGUUCACUGUAAUUAUCUAAGUUCUAUGUUAGAAAACUAUUGAGAUUUUCCAAUCACGUUGCAUUGCUCAGAUUUGUGUAAGCUAUUUCA